UACGAAGGGGGCUAGCGUUGUUCGGAAUUACUGGGCGUAAAGCGCACGUAGGCGGGUUGUUAAGUCAGGGGUGGAAUCCUGGAGCUCAACUCCAGAACUGCCUUUGAUACUGGCAACCUAGAGACUGGAAGAGGUUAGUGGAAUUCCCAGUGUAGAGGUGAAAUUCGUAGAUAUUCGCAAGAACACCAGUGGCGAAGGCGGCUCACUGGCCCGGUACUGACGCUGAGGUGCGAAAGCGUGGGGAGCAAACAGG
rnacentral:rRNA from 1 species